rnacentral:misc_RNA from 1 species
GAUGAAGAACGUAGCGAACUGCGAUAAGUAAUGUGAAUUGCAGAAUUCAGUGAAUCAUCGAGUCUUUGAACGCACAUUGCGCCCCCUGGCAUUCCGGGGGGCAUGCCUGUCCGAGCGUCAUUGCUGCCCAUCAAGCCCGGCUUGUGUGUUGGGUCGUCGUCCCCCCCGGGGGACGGGCCCGAAAGGCAGCGGCGGCACCGUGUCCGGUCCUCGAGCGUAUGGGGCUUUGUCACCCGCUCGACUAGGGCCGGCCGGGCGCCAGCCGACGUCUCCAACCAUUUUUCUUCAGGUUGACCUCGGAUCAGGUAGGGAUACCCGCUGAACUUAAGCAUAUCAAUAAGCGGAGGA